rnacentral:rRNA from 1 species
GACGAACGCUGGCGGCGUGCCUAAUACAUGCAAGUAGAACGCACAGUUUAUACCGUAGCUUGCUACACCAUAGACUGUGAGUUGCGAACGGGUGAGUAACGCGUAGGUAACCUGCCUGGUAGCGGGGGAUAACUAUUGGAAACGAUAGCUAAUACCGCAUAAUAUUGAUUAUUGCAUGAUAAUUAAUUGAAAGGUGCAAUUGCACCACUACCAGAUGGACCUGCGUUGUAUUAGCUAGUAGGUGAGGUAACGGCUCACCUAGGCGACGAUACAUAGCCGACCUGAGAGGGUGAUCGGCCACACUGGGACUGAGACACGGCCCAGAAUCCUACGGGAGGCAGCAGUAGGGAAUCUUCGGCAAUGGACGAAAGUCUGACCGAGCAACGCCGCGUGAGUGAAGAAGGAUUUCGGAUCGUAAAGAUCUGUUGUAAGAGAAGAACGGGGGUGAGAGUGGAAAGUUCACACUGUGACGGUAUCUUACCAGAAAGGGACGGCUAACUACGUG